AGCGAAUGCAAACGGAACGAGAGUAGAAAUCAGCGCGCUGCUGCGCCGUGUGAUGUACGGGCUGCCUCGGGACACAGCGCUGUGCACCGCGGGGACGGGAGAUGGAUGGAGAGCAAAUGGCUGAAAGCUCGAAAGGUUUCGCUUCCCGGCUGACACGGAGCGAGAAAUCCCGGCACAGGGAUCCGCCAUUCACUCCCACGCACGGGGCGCCGCUCGGGACGCUGCGUCCUGCCGGGCUGCAACCGGGCGGAGCGGUGAGGCUGCAGGCGAGCAUCGCAGCGCUGCGCGCACAGACCCGGGGCUCCGGCGGGCUCUUUGGGGGUCGCGUCGUGACCUCAGGUCUUUAGGAGCAGCGCUGCUCUGCGUGUCUGCAGGCGGGCCGUCUGAGCUCCUCCCCGCCCGAAGCAGAUGCGGCACUUCAGGCUGAUUGCUUUCGUUCCCCGUCCCGCUAACGAGCUGCGAUCACGCUGAGCAGAGCCCAGACCUCGCGGUUCCGUUACAGAACUCUGCCACCCGGAGUUAAAAGGAGCAGAAAUGGCCGCAGGGACGAUCCCUGCUCUGCUCAGCGCUCUGCUCGGGGUGAGGGCAGUCGUAGGGUGGCUCUGAUGCUGAUCUCGGUUCAUUCCUCCCAACUGAACGGUGCCUCCGUGGCUUUCAGUGAGAAAUUAGAAACAGCCUCAUUGGGUUUCCAAAGCUUUUCAUCUGCUCCUUCGAAUACCAAUCAGUUCCAAAUAAUCAGCGUCGGCCCCUGCAGGGGAUGCACUCCUGUAGGCUUCCUCUUAUCUCCGCCAAAAUGGGAUCCAGUGCUCUUUCUGCACAAGUUCUGCUUUCUGACUCCACUCUGCCAUCAGGAAACGCGUCUGAACCGCUGCAAGUCCCGUUCCCAGCAGCUCCAGUUCGGGCCGGGCACAGAGCAGGGAGCAUCACAAACAAGCAGAGCUGCCCCAUGUGAGCCUGCAGCUGCUGGGUCAGGAUAUCUUGGAAAAGAAGCACAAAAGGUCGUGGUGAAGAUGAAGGGAUUGCUGCAGGUCUGAGGACUUGGGACAUCUGCUCCCAAGACAGCGGUUUAAUGAGGGAGGUUUGGGAGCAGGCGUUCAAAUGGACAGGUGGAGUGAACCCAAACGUCUGCGUCAAACUCCGACAUCGCUGCUGGAUGCCAUGGAUCACAGCGCCACGAGAUGGAAAUCCCAGGUGCUGGGAUGCUGGGCCCUGUGGGAGGCUCAGCUGUCGGUGGCUGUUGUUGUGCAGCAGGACGACCCACGCAGCCCCAGCCCUUGUCCUGCACUUGAACCUCCAGAAAUCCCGAGCAGCCGAUGAGCUCAGCCCUCUUACAGACAUGGGGCUGGGCUGAAUUAGAAACCAGCUGCUGCUGCGCCGCAACUUCCGCUCUGUUUUUGCAAAGGGGCAGGAGAACGUGGCACCCCCAACAGCAUGGGCAGCACUCUGUGCUCAGCCCUCCUCCCAGCCCGGCCAGCAGCACCUGAUUGCACCUGAUUGCAUCUGAUUGCACCUGAUUGCAUCAGAUUGCACCUGAUUGCUGGUGUUCUUCAAUGGAGUGCGGUGCGACAGGAUGCAGUGAAAUGCAAUGAAAUACAGUACAAUGGGAUGCAACACAGUGCAGUGAAAUGCAAUGGAAUCCAAAGCCAUGGAAUGCAACACAACCCCAACCCCAUGCAGCACAAUGAAAUGAAAAUGCAGUGGAAUCCAAAGUGAUGGAACCCCAACCCAAUGCAAAGCAAUGCAGUGCAAUGAAACCCAAAGCAAAGCAAUGGAACAGACACAAACCUUACCCAGUGCAACACAUGAAAUGAAAUGCAAUGAAAUCCAAAGCAAAGCAAUGGAACACAGCACAGCUCUAACCCAAUGCAACACAACAAAAUGAAAUGGAAUCCAAAGCAUUGGAAGACAACACAACCCUAAGUCCAGCCAAAACAAUGGAAUGCAAUGGAAUCCAAAGCAAUGCAAUGCAACCUUAACCCAAAGCAAAGCAUUGGAAUGCAACACAAACCUUAUCCACUGCAACACAAUGAAAUG
ensembl:lncRNA